UACAGAGGGGGCAAGCGUUGUUCGGAAUUACUGGGCGUAAAGGGCGCGUAGGCGGCCUUCUAAGUCGAACGUGAAAUCCCCGGGCUCAACCCGGGAACUGCGUCCGAUACUGGGAGGCUUGAAUCCGGGAGAGGGAUGUGGAAUUCCAGGUGUAGCGGUGAAAUGCGUAGAUAUCUGGAGGAACACCGGUGGCGAAGGCGGCAUCCUGGACCGGUAUUGACGCUGAGGCGCGAAAGCCAGGGGAGCAAAGC
rnacentral:rRNA from 1 species